GUUGGUAGAGCACGACCUUGCCAAGGUCGGGGUCGCGAGUUCGAGUCUCGUUUCCCGCUCCA
rnacentral:tRNA from 1 species